rnacentral:tRNA from 2 species
GGGUUCGUAGCCUAGUCUGGUAGGGCGAUGGUCUCCAAAACCAUCGAUCGUCGGUUCAAAUCCGGUCGGGCCCA